AAAAAAAAACUAAUUAAAUUUCUUUUGGAAAAAAAACUGUUUUACGUUCCAAUAUUAGAGUUUUAUAUUAACAAUUACCUAAGUUUUGCUACCUACGGUCAUGAAAUCGCUAAUAACGUAAAUAUCCGAUUAAAUCGUACAAAAAUAAAAUAUGGAAAUACAGACACAAUUCAAUUUGUUAAACUUUUAUCUGUAAAUAAAAAGUUAUUCACUAAUAAAUAUUAACCUCUAAACAUUCCGC
rnacentral:lncRNA from 1 species